rnacentral:rRNA from 1 species
ACUGAACGCUGGCGGCAGGCCUAACACAUGCAAGUCGAGCGGAUGACGGGAGCUUGCUCCUUGAUUCAGCGGCGGACGGGUGAGUAAUGCCUAGGAAUCUGCCUGGUAGUGGGGGACAACGUUUCGAAAGGAACGCUAAUACCGCAUACGUCCUACGGGAGAAAGCAGGGGACCUUCGGGCCUUGCGCUAUCAGAUGAGCCUAGGUCGGAUUAGCUAGUUGGUGGGGUAAUGGCUCACCAAGGCGACGAUCCGUAACUGGUCUGAGAGGAUGAUCAGUCCAACUGGAAAUGGGACACGGUCCAGACUCCUACGGGAGGCAGCAGUGGGGAAUAUUGGACAAUGGGCGAAAGCCUGAUCCAGCCAUGCCGCGUGUGUGAAGAAGGUCUUCGGAUUGUAAAGCACUUUAAGUUGGGAGGAAGGGCAGUAAGUUAAUACCUUGCUGUUUUGACGUUACCGACAGAAUAAGCACCGGCUAACUCUGUGCCAGCCGCCGCCGUAA